CAGCCGCCGCGGUAAUACGUAGGUGGCGAGCGUUGUCCGGAUUUAUUGGGCGUAAAGGGAGUGUAGGCGGUCUUUUAAGUCUGAUGUGAAAGCCCACGGCUCAACCGUGGAGGGUCAUUGGAAACUGGGAGACUUGAGUGCAGAAGAGGAGAGCGGAAUUCCAUGUGUAGCGGUGAAAUGCGUGGAUAUAUGGAGGAACACCAGUGGCGAAGGCGGCUCUCUGGUCUGUAACUGACGCUGUGGCUCGAAAGCAUGGGGAGCAAACAGGAUUAGAUACCCCAGUAGUCCCUGUCUCUUAUAC
rnacentral:rRNA from 1 species